rnacentral:rRNA from 1 species
ACGCACUCCUACGGGAGGCAGCAGUGGGGAAUAUUGCACAAUGGGCGCAAGCCUGAUGCAGCCAUGCCGCGUGUAUGAAGAAGGCCUUCGGGUUGUAAAGUACUUUCAGCAGUGAGGAAGGUGGAUAUGUUAAUAGCAUAUUCAUUUGACGUUAGCUGCAGAAGAAGCACCGGCUAACUCCGUGCCAGCAGCCGCGGUAAUACGGAGGGUGCGAGCGUUAAUCGGAAUUACUGGGCGUAAAGCGUACGCAGGCGGUUUGUUAAGCGAGAUGUGAAAGCCCCGGGCUCAACCUGGGAACUGCAUUUCGAACUGGCAAACUAGAGUGUGAUAGAGGGUGGUAGAAUUUCAGGUGUAGCGGUGAAAUGCGUAGAGAUCUGAAGGAAUACCGAUGGCGAAGGCAGCCACCUGGGUCAACACUGACGCUCAUGUACGAAAGCGUGGGGAGCAAACGGGAUUAGAUACCCUGGUAG